GAGGUCCUGCCUGCCCAGUGAAACAUUUUUAACGGCCGCGGUAUCCUAACCGUGCAAAGGUAGCGUAAUCACUUGUCUCCUAAAUAGAGACCAGUAUGAACGGCUAAAUGAGGACAAAUCUGUCUCCUAUGACCAAUCAGUGAAACUGAUCUUUCAGUACAAAAACUGAAAUAUUCUCAUAAGACGAGAAGACCCUGUGGAGCUUAAGACGAAUGACCAACCUAACGGAUAUGUCCUUAAGUCUUAAGUUGGGGCAACUUCGGAAAAAAACAAAACUUCCGAGCACAGAAGCACCCCUUCUAAUCAAGGCCUACAAGCCAAAACACCAAUAGACCCAGUCACACUGACCAACGAACCAAGUUACCCCAGGGAUAACAGCGCUAUCUUCUCCAAGAGUUCCUAUCGACGAGAAGGUUUACGACCUCGAUGUUGGAUCAGGACACCCAGACGGUGCAGCCGCUGUCAACGGUUCGUUUGUUCAACGAUUAACAGUCCUACGUGAUCUGAGU
rnacentral:rRNA from 1 species